ensembl:lncRNA
CAGAAUAAUAGUGUAUAAUAGGUGCCUACAGAGCUUUGUCAGAUCUUCUAAGUUUUAUAGAAGUUAGUAUGAUAACAGUAUUUUAUAUUCUGCACUAAUAUUCUAAUUUUUGAAAACCUAAAUGAAAAUAACUUUUAACAAAAUAAGUUGAAGGAGGAUUUUUUUUAAAAAAUAAGAUGUUUAAGAGGAAAAGGAAAAAUGUUUGGAAAGUAUCAUUUGAAAUGGUUAACUGCAAAGGUGUAAACUGUGUGAUUAUUAUAAACACUGUUCUUGGGCCGGGGAUUUAACUCAGUGGUUCUGUCACCUGCCUUGCAAGCCCAAGGGCCCGAGUUCGAUCCCUGGUACCAAAAAAACAAAACAAAACAAAAAAACACUGUUCAGCUUUCAAGUGAAGAUAUUCUUCAGGAUACCGUGUGUAUUCAUUGUGUCUUCUUGUCUGUAUACAAAGUGUCAUGUUCUUCCUUAAUAAGCAAUGCAGAAAGGCUUACUAUCUUGAAAAGCUCUGAGUUGUUGGCAAGUGGCUCUAUUUUAGGGACUAAAAAAUGGGAGAAGAAGGCAAUGUACAGGAUUAAGGAAUAUCAGUCUUUCUUUGGAUAAAGGUAAAAGUCUGAAGAAAUGAAGUAUGUAGAAGUUUUCUCUCUUGGAUGGAUUGAGCCUCCUAACAGAGACAUCCUUUGCUGAAUAAAUUCUUCAAAACCAGAUUGGAAGUUCACAUAGCUUUAUGGAAUCAGCCAAGGUGCCUACAAUGGAUGAAUGGAUGAAGAAAAUGUGGCAUAUAUACACAAUAGAGUGUUUAGACAUAAAGAACAAAAUUAUGUCAUUGCCAGCAAAAAUGGGUGGAACUGGAGAUCAUCGUGUUAAGUGAAGUAAGCCAAACAGACUCAGACAAGUGUCACAGGUUUUCUCUAAUGUAGGAACUAGGUUUAAAAAAAUAACAUGAAAAUAUAAUGAAGACUAUUAAGAAGAAGGGAACAAGGGGGAGGAGAGAAUGGAGGGUAAGAAAAGGCAAUGGGAAGAUUUGUAUGAUCAAAGCAUGUUGCAUGCACGUGUAAAAACAUCACAAUGAAACCCAAAUUUAAAAAUGAAAAAAGUCUUUUAAUGUUAUUGCUUAUUUACAUAUUUAAGCAUCCAUCCAAUCAACGUAAUGAAGGUUGACUUAAAAACUAAGAGUCAGAGGCCAGGGAUUUAGCUCAGUGGUGCUGCUGCCUGCCUUCCAAGUCCAAGGUCCUGAGUUUGAUCCCUGAUAACAAAAACAAAAACAAAAAACUAAGAGUCAGAAAAAGUGGCCAAGACUUUCAGUCUUUGUUUUCUUCAGGAAUUUUAUGUCUUGUUUCAGAUAAUAUUUUUAGAUUUUUUUAUUAUUUAAAAAUAAUUACUGGAGUAUUAGUAAAAAUAAAAUAUCACAAACCUAUCAUUGAUUUAUCAUUUUAUCAUAUGGAAGCUGAAGCAGAAAUAAAUUGCUGAAAUAAGAGCCAAAUGGCACAAAUAAUGGUGACAGAGGUAUGAAAAGCAAACAUCCACAAAUAAGCAAUUUUAGGUCACUUGAGUAAUUUAUUUUACUCUGAAUAGUGUGAUGUACACAGA